GAAAUUCGAUAAGUAGUGUGAAUUGCAGAAUUCAGUGAAUCAUCGAAUCUUUGAACGCACAUUGCGCCCCUUGGUAUUCCAUGGGGCAUGCCUGUUCGAGCGUCAUUUGUACCCUCAAGCUCUGCUUGGUGUUGGGUGUUUGUCCCGUCUCCGCGCGUGGACUCGCCCCAAAGUGAUUGGCAGCCGGCGUACUGGUCCCGGAGCGCAGCACAUGUCGCGCAAACGAGUGCCUUGGUACGGCGGCGUCCAUAAGCCCCUCUCUCACGCUCUUGACCUCGGAUCAGGUAGGGAUACCCGCUGAACUUAAGC
rnacentral:misc_RNA from 1 species